rfam:Schistosoma curassoni strain Dakar, Senegal genome assembly, scaffold: SCTD_scaffold0010833
AUUCAGCUGAUGAGUCCCGAAUAGGACGAAACGCGCGUCCCUGGUU